rnacentral:rRNA from 1 species
UACGAAGGGGGCUAGCGUUGCUCGGAUUGACUGGGCGUAAAGGGCGCGUAGGCGGUUCGUACAGUCAGACGUGAAAUUCCUGGGCUCAACCUGGGGGCUGCGUUUGAUACGUGCGGGCUUGAGUUCGGAAGAGGGUCGUGGAAUUCCCAGUGUAGAGGUGAAAUUCGUAGAUAUUGGGAAGAACACCGGUGGCGAAGGCGGCGACCUGGUCCGAUACUGACGCUGAGGCGCGAAAGCGUGGGGAGCAAACGGG